GAUGAACGCUAGCGGCAGGCUUAAUACAUGCAAGUCGAACGGGAUUCGGUGUAGCAAUACAUUGAUGAGAGUGGCGCACGGGUGCGUAACGCGUAUGCAACCUACCUUUAACAGGUGAAUAGCCCCGAGAAAUCGGGAUUAAUACACCGUAACAUUGCGGGAUGGCAUCAUUCUGCAAUUAAAGAUUUAUCGGUUAAAGAUGGGCAUGCGUGACAUUAGCUAGUUGGUGAGGUAACGGCUCACCAAGGCGACGAUGUCUAGGGGUCCUGAGAGGGUUAUCCCCCACACUGGUACUGAGACACGGACCAGACUCCUACGGGAGGCAGCAGUAAGGAAUAUGGUCAAUGGGCGCAAGCCUGAACCAGCCAUGCCGCGUGCAGGAAGACGGCCCUAUGGGUUGUAAACUGCUUUUGUCAGGGAAUAAACCUGUCUACGAGUAGGCAGCUGAAGGUACCUGAAGAUAAGCAUCGGCUAACUCCGUGCCAG
rnacentral:rRNA from 1 species